AUCUUGGUAAAAUAUUCAUUUUUAAACUAGCGGGCAGUGAAAUCUUUGCUUUGUGUGCUAAAGUCAACAGUCGCUCGGUUUGAGCUCAAAUAAAUGCGGGGAUGCCUGGGCUGGAGCAGUCGGCCGCCUCCCGCGCGCCGGACCCGCCGCCGCCGCCGCAGGUCAGAAAUUCAAUGAUAUCAUGCAAGAUUAUUUGUCUCUACUUCUUUAGUUCUUUGCAAAUUGAAGUGUCAUUCAUUUACAUAUCUAGCAAUUGAUUCUGGGAGCUGGCUGAGAAAAGACUUGGAACUGUUAGCUGAAACAUACAUGUACAUAUGACCUGGGCUUCCAUACAUGAUAGUGGCUGGAGUUCAAGGCCUGAGAACUUAGACACAAGAGAGACCCUUCAUCUGAUGCUAAACUUUGGGAAUGGAAAUCAAGACUGCUAAUUCUCCAUCAAUUGGGAAAUUUUUGAAGAAGAAUGGUGACUUGAAGAUAGCUUCAUAGAUGGAUAUUUCUACUCUCUCAUGAGUUCUGUCCUGCUUAAUAUUUUCACAUUCUUCUUGGCUGAAACAGCAAGAGUGAUGUACCCAAUUAUCUGUAAUACUGACUUCGAAGGAAGAGUUAACAUGUAGGAUCAGGGUCAGAAAUGAUCUUGUUAAACUGAAUUUGGCACAAUUAAAAUGUUUAAGGAGUAUCAUCAACUUACCUAUUGUGUUAUUUGAAUUUUCCUUUUUCAUAUUUCUGGUGGUGAUGGGUACUAUUGGCUUGGGACUCAGGGGUGACCUCCGGUAUUGUAGGCAUCUAACCAGUUCACCCACAUGCAUACCUGACCUCCCGUAGUUUCUCUCUGGCCCCUCUUUUGCAUUAUUCCUUAAUUUUAGAUUAAUUUUAAAAUCUAUUCAUAAAUACCAGUUAUCUAAUAAGUGAACUAGAUGUGAAUAGAAUCUACCCAUCUGUAGUAGACAUGGUUUAGCAGUCACCUGUACUUUCCCCCUGCCAUAAUUGGUUAUACUCUGUAGGAAUCUGUUAUCUCAAAAUCAAGGUUAAAUUUAUAUUAACUGAAGUCUGCUCUUUUUUUGUUGUUAAUUUUAAUGAGAUUUGACAGAUGUACAAAAUCAUGUAAUUAACACCAAAAUCAGUGUCCAAAACUAUUCUAUCAUUUCAAAAUUCCUUUGUACCUCUGGAGAUAUUUUCUAUUUAUAUAGUUUUUGUGAAUGUAAUAAAAAAUGGAAUUAUAUUUAUUUAACCCUUUCAUUCCUUUUUUUGCUUAUUUAGUGCUUUUGAAAUUAAUGUCUGUUCCUUUCAUUUGCUGAAUAGUAUUCUAUUCCAGAACUGUCCCACAAAUAUUCAUCUAUUCAUCACUUAUACAACAUUUGCCUUGGUUAAAUAUUUGGUGAUCAUGAAUAAAGUCAUUACAA